rnacentral:pre_miRNA from 1 species
GUGAAUAAGGAAAAGGAAGCCAUUAGUAUCUCAGAGUAGUAGGCUUGGGAACAUGGAGGAAAGCAGACUUCUUGCCCUCUAAAUUUAGGGGCCAAGACUGUUUUGUAUUUUCCCCAUGCCUCUCAUGCUUAUUACUCUUAGAUAUUCCUUCCGUUUCCUAUUUGCU